rnacentral:rRNA from 1 species
AUUGAACGCUGGCGGCAGGCCUAACACAUGCAAGUCGAGCGAGCGGCGGACGGGUGAGUAAUGUUUGGGAAACUGCCUGAUGGAUGGGGAUAACUACUGGAAACGGUAGCUAAUCCCGCAUACCAUCAGAUGUGCCCAGAUGGGAUUAGCUAGUAGGUGGGGUAACGGCUCACCUAGGCGACGAGCCCUAGCUGGUCUGAGAGGAUGACCAGCAACACUGGAACUGAGACACGGUCUAGACUCCUACGCGAGGCAGCAGUGGGGAAGAUUGCGCAAUGGGCGCAAGCCUGAUGCAGCCAUGCCGCGUGUGUGAAGAAGGCCUUCGGGUUGUAAAGCACUUUCAGCGGGGAGGCGUUACCCGAAGAAGAAGCACCGGCUAACUCCGUGCCAGCAGCCGCGGUAAUAC